rnacentral:rRNA from 1 species
UGAGUGAGUGGCGGACGGGUGAGUAACACGUGGGUAACCUGCCCUAAAGUGGGGGAUAACAUUUGGAAACAGAUGCUAAUACCGCAUAAAACCUAACACCGCAUGGUGUAGGGUUGAAAGAUGGUUUCGGCUAUCACUUUAGGAUGGACCCGCGGUGCAUUAGUUAGUUGGUGAGGUAAAGGCUCACCAAGACCGUGAUGCAUAGCCGACCUGAGAGGGUAAUCGGCCACACUGGGACUGAGACACGGCCCAGACUCCUACGGGAGGCAGCAGUAGGGAAUCUUCCACAAUGGACGAAAGUCUGAUGGAGCAACGCCGCGUGAGUGAAGAAGGUUUUCGGAUCGUAAAACUCUGUUGUUGGAGAAGAAUGUAUCUGAUAGUAACUGAUCAGGUAGUGACGGUAUCCAACCAGAAAGCCACGGCUAACUACGUGCCAGCAGCCGCGGUAAUACGUAGGUGGCAAGCGUUGUCCGGAUUUAUUGGGCGUAAAGCGAGCGCAGGCGGUUUCUUAAGUCUGAUGUGAAAGCCUUCGGCUCAACCGAAGAAGUGCAUCGGAAACUGGGAAACUUGAGUGCAGAAGAGGACAGUGGAACUCCAUGUGUAGCGGUGAAAUGCGUAGAUAUAUGGAAGAACACCAGUGGCGAAGGCGGCUGUCUGGUCUGUAACUGACGCUGAGGCUCGAAAGCAUGGUGUAGCAAACAGGAUUAGAUACCCUGGUAGUCCAUGCCGUAAACGAUGAGUGCUAGGUGUUGGAGGGUUUCCGCCCUUCAGUGCCGCAGCUAACGCAUUAAGCACUCCGCCUGGGGAGUACGACCGCAAGGUUGAAACUCAAAGGAAUUGACGGGGGCCCGCACAAGCGGUGGAGCAUGUGGUUUAAUUCGAAGCAACGCGAAGAACCUUACCAGGUCUUGACAUCCUUUGACCACUCUAGAGAUAGAGCUUUCCCUUCGGGGACAAAGUGACAGGUGGUGCAUGGUUGUCGUCAGCUCGUGUCGUGAGAUGUUGGGUUAAGUCCCGCAACGAGCGCAACCCUUAUUACUAGUUGCCAGCAUUAAGUUGGGCACUCUAGUGAGACUGCCGGUGACAAACCGGAGGAAGGUGGGGACGACGUCAAAUCAUCAUGCCCCUUAUGACCUGGGCUACACACGUGCUACAAUGGAUGGUACAACGAGUUGCGAGACCGCGAGGUUUAGCUAAUCUCUUAAAACCAUUCUCAGUUCGGAUUGUAGGCUGCAACUCGCCUACAUGAAGCCGGAAUCGCUAGUAAUCGCGGAUCAGCAUGCCGCGGUGAAUACGUUCCCGGGCCUUGUACACACCGCCCGUCACACCAUGAGAGUUUGUAACACCCAAA